GAUGAACGCUAGCGGCAGGCUUAACACAUGCAAGUCGAGGGGCAGCAUAAUGGAUAGCAAUAUCUAUGGUGGCGACCGGCGCACGGGUGCGUAACGCGUAUACAACCUACCUUUAACAGGGGGAUAACACUGAGAAAUUGGUACUAAUACCCCAUAAUAUCAUAGAAGGCAUCUUUUAUGGUUGAAAAUUCCGAUGGUUAGAGAUGGGCAUGCGUUGUAUUAGCUAGUUGGUGGGGUAACGGCUCACCAAGGCGACGAUACAUAGGGGGACUGAGAGGUUAACCCCCCACACUGGUACUGAGACACGGACCAGACUCCUACGGGAGGCAGCAGUGAGGAAUAUUGGUCAAUGGACGCAAGUCUGAACCAGCCAUGCCACGUGCAGGAUGACGGCUCUAUGAGUUGUAAACUGCUUUUGUACGAGGGUAAACGCAGAUACGUGUAUCUGUCUGAAAGUAUCGUACGAAUAAGGAUCGGCUAACUCCGUG
rnacentral:rRNA from 1 species